AUCUAGUUGACGAGUCCCAAAUAGGACGAAACGAAUGUUCUGGAA
rnacentral:hammerhead_ribozyme from 1 species